rnacentral:snRNA from 1 species
GGAUAUAAGGGUAAUCUGGCUGUGAGAUCUGAUGUGCCAUUGGUUGUAUGGGUUGAUCUAACUGACCUGGCUAGCUUAGGCAGGGGUUCCCUUUCUCCCUCGACAUUCCAUGUGUGCUCCUCCUGAUGCUGUGUGCUUAGUUAAUGAGGACAGCCUCCCUAAUAAAUAUUGUACUAUUCAUUGGUCAAGGGUGUGUGGUAGCUGUGCUCCCCUGCUGGGAUCUCUAACUCAGCUCGAGGUCCACUUCUAGAUGAAUGUAGGGUAGACAAGUCACAUCCAAAUGAGAAGCUGCAUGCAGCAGUCCACCAGUUUUU